rnacentral:rRNA from 1 species
UACGGGGGGGGCAAGCGUUGUUCGGAAUUACUGGGCGUAAAGGGCUCGUAGGCGGCCAACUAAGUCAGACGUGAAAGCCCCCGGCUCAACUGGGGAGGGUCACUCGAUACUGAUCGACUCGAAGGCAGGAGAGGGAAGUGGAAUUCCCGGUGUAGUGGUGAAAUGCGUAGAUAUCGGGAGGAACACCAGUGGCGAAGGCGACUUCCUGGCCUGUUCUUGACGCUGAGGCGCGAAAGCUAGGGGAGCAAACGGG